rnacentral:lncRNA from 1 species
AAAAAUAGUUGUGCCAAAAGAAUUGAGCCAGCCUGGUUUGGUUGUAAUCCCAGCUACUUGGGAGGCUGAGGCAGGAGAAUAGUUUCAACCCAAGAGGCGAAGGUUGCAGUGAGCCGAGAUUGCACCAUUGCACUCCAGCCUGGAUGACAACAGUGAGAAUCCAUCUAAAAAAAAAAUUAAAGCUUCAAGGUUGUGGAAUAAUUUAUCCU